AACGAACGCUGGCGGCAGGCUUAACACAUGCAAGUCGAACGAUAUAGUGGCAGACGGGUGAGUAACGCGUGGAAACGUGCCUUUCACUACGGAAUAGCUUUUGGAAACGAAAGGUAAUACCGUAUACGCCCUCCGGGGGAAAGAUUUAUCGGUGAAAGAUCGGUCCGCGUUAGAUUAGCUAGUUGGUGAGGUAACGGCUCACCAAGGCUACGAUCUAUAGCUGGUCUGAGAGGAUGAUCAGCCACACUGGAACUGAGACACGGUCCAGACUCCUACGGGAGGCAGCAGUGGGGAAUAUUGCACAAUGGGCGCAAGCCUGAUGCAGCCAUGCCGCGUGAAUGAUGAAGGCCUUAGGGUUGUAAAAUUCUUUCGCCAGGGAUGAUAAUGACAGUACCUGGUAAAGAAGCCCCGGCUAACUUCGUGCCAGCGCCGCCGCGUAACAC
rnacentral:rRNA from 1 species